GCCCUCCUGAGGAGUCCCAUAAUAGGACGAAACGGCCGUCCAGUAC
rnacentral:hammerhead_ribozyme from 1 species